UAGGGAAUCUUCGGCAAUGGGGGGAACCCUGACCGAGCAACGCCGCGUGAGUGAAGAAGGUUUUCGGAUCGUAAAGCUCUGUUGUUAAGGAAGAACGGUAAUGGGAGUGGAAAGUCCAUUACGUGACGGUACUUAACCAGAAAGGGACGGCUAACUACGUGCCAGCAGCCGCGGUAAUACGUAGGUCCCGAGCGUUGUCCGGAUUUAUUGGGCGUAAAGCGAGCGCAGGCGGCUCUAUAAGUCUGAAGUGAAAGGCUAUGGCUCAACCAUAGUAUGCUUUGGAAACUGUAGGGCUUGAGUGCAGAAGGGGAGAGUGGAAUUCCAUGUGUAGCGGUGAAAUGCGUAGAUAUAUGGAGGAACACCGGUGGCGAAAGCGGCUCUCUGGUCUGUGACUGACGCUGAGGCUCGAAAGCGUGGGUAGCGAACAGG
rnacentral:rRNA from 2 species